rnacentral:rRNA from 1 species
CUACGGGAGGCAGCAGUGGGGAAUAUUGGGCAAUGGACGAAAGUCUGACCCAGCCAUGCCGCGUGAAUGAUGAAGGCCUUAGGGUUGUAAAGUUCUUUCGCCGAUGAAGAUAAUGACGGUAGUCGGAGAAGAAGCCCCGGCUAACUUCGUGCCAGCAGCCGCGGUAAUACGAAGGGGGCUAGCGUUGUUCGGAAUUACUGGGCGUAAAGCGAGCGUAGGUUGCUCGAUAAGUCAGUGGUGAAAGCCCAGAGCUCAACUCUGGAACUGCCAUUGAAACUGUCGAGCUGGAAUCUCAGAGGGGGUAGCGGAAUUCCAAAUGUAGGGGUGAAAUCCGUAGAUAUUUGGAGGAACACCGGUGGCGAAGGCGGCUACCUGGAUGAGUAUUGACACUGAGGCUCGAAAGCGUGGGGAUCAAACAGGAUUAGAUACCCUGGU